rnacentral:snRNA from 1 species
GUGCUCGCUUCGGCAGCACAUAUACUAAAAUUGGAAUGAUACGGAGAAGAUUAGCAUGGCCCCUACGCAAGGAUGACACACAAAUUCGUGAAGCGUUCCAUAUUUUG